rnacentral:misc_RNA from 1 species
CGUAGGUGAACCUGCGGAAGGAUCAUUAACGAGUUAGGGUCUUCUAGGCCCGACCUCCCAACCCUUUGUUUACUGAACCAUUGUUGCCUCGGUGGGUCCGUCUUACGACCGCCGGGGGAUCGCCGCGAGGCGCCCCCUGGCCAGCGUCCACCGAUAGCCCAACCUUUAAAACCCUUUGUGAAUCGUGUCUUAUGUCUAAAUUUAUGAUUAAACAAUCAAAACAAAACUUUCAACAACGGAUCUCUUGGUUCUG